rnacentral:tRNA from 1 species
GCCAGCGUGGUGGUGUACAGCCUGAUUCCCCAUCAGGAGGUGUUGCUGUGGCGCUUGGGAGCGCGGGUGCUAUUCCUGCCGCUGGUG